UGAGUACGAGCGGCUACGGCCGCGAAGUGGAUGAUGUCAAGCUUCCAAGAAAAGCCCUAUACCCGUUAAGGCAUGAUGGCCUGUACCCGAAACCGACACAGGUGGGGUGGUAGAGAAUACCGAGGGGCGCGAGGUAACUCUCUCUAAGGAACUCGGCAAAAUGGCCCCGUAACUUCGGGAGAAGGGGUGCCACCGCGAGGUGGUCGCAGUGAAGAGGCCCAGGCGACUGUUUACCAAAAACACAGGUCUCCGCUAAGUCGCAAGACGAUGUAUGGGGGCUGACGCCUGCCCAGUGCCGGAAGGUUAAGGAAGCUGGUCAGCGCAAGCGAAGCUGGCGACUGAAGCCCCGGUGAACGGCGGCCGUAACGAUAACGGUCCUAAGGUAGCGAAAUUCCUUGUCGGGUAAGUUCCGACCCGCACGAAAGGCGUAACGAUCUGGGCGCUGUCUCGGAGAGAGGCUCGGCGAAAUAGAAUUGUCUGUGAAGAUGCGGACUACGUGCACCCGGACAGAAAGACCCUAUGAAGCUUUACUGUAGCUUGGUAUUGUGCUCGGGCUCGGAAUGCGCAGGAUAGGUGGGAGGCUUUGAUCCAUUGCUUGCGGGUGAUGGUGAGCCACUGGUGAGAUACCACUCUUUCCGAGCUAGAGUUCUAACAGCAACCCGUUAUCCGGGUGCUGGACAGUAUCAGGUGGGCAGUUUGACUGGGGCGGUCGCCUCCUAAAAGGUAACGGAGGCGCGCAAAGGUCUGCUCAGGCUGGUUGGAAAUCAGCCGACGAGUGUAAAAGCAGAAGCAGGCUUGACUGUGAGACCUACAAGUCGAACAGGGAGGAAACUCGGCUUUAGUGAUCCGACGGUUCUGCGUGGGAGGGCCGUCGCACAACGGAUAAAAGUUACUCUAGGGAUAACAGCCUGAUCUCCCCCAAGAGUUCACAUCGACGGGGAGGUUUGGCACCUCGAUGUCGGCUCAUCGCAACCUGGGGCUGAAGUCGGUCCCAAGGGUUGGGCUGUUCGCCCAUUAAAGCGGUACGCGAGCUGGGUUCAGAACGUCGUGAGACAGUUCGGUCCAUAUCCGGUGCACGCGCAGGAAUAUUGAGAGGAUUUCUCCCUAGUACGAGAGGACCGGGAGGAACGCACCUCUGGUGUGCCAGUUAUCGUGCCAACGGUAAACGCUGGGUAGCCAUGUGCGGAGUGGAUAACCGCUGAAAGCAUCUAAGUGGGAAGCCCACCUCAAGAUGAGUAUUCCCAUGGCAUAAGCCAGUAAGGUCACGGGAAGAACACCCGUUGAUAGGCUCUACGUGGAAGCGCAGUAAUGUGUGAAGCGGAGGAGUACUAAUAGACCGAGGGCUUGACC
rnacentral:rRNA from 1 species